UUUAGCGCAGUAGGCAGCACUUCAGUCUUGUAAGCUGAAGGUCCAGAGUUCGAUCCUCAGAA
rnacentral:tRNA from 1 species